AUUUAGCAUUAAUUGCAGAAAUUGUUUAUGUAUGAUUUGUGCAUUAUUGUUUAAUUUAAUUAAUAAAUUGCUAACACACAAAAAUAUCAUCUGACAUUAAUUUGAACAAUCGUAUGAAGCGUUAAAACACUACGAAUAGCUCGGGGACUCCCAGCUUUUGAUUAACGAAAUGGCUAAGCACACAUUGUGAAAUAUUUCGUCAGGAAUAGUACUUAUCGAUCUUCUUUUGGCCGUUCAAAUGGAAACAAUACUACAAAGAACUUAAGCAUUUUGGCAUCUUGCUAAUUAAGAAAAUAUGUACAUACAUACACAUAUAUUUUAUAGGGUCGGAAACGUUUUCUUACGUGAGGAACGCACAUUUCCCGACCAUACAAAAUACCCGAUUUACUCUUCAAGUACCGUGUAUAAUUAGCAUUAACCCAAAGCGAAAAAGUUGGCGAAAAAUUGUGCUUUAUUUUGGCUUUGUGUCGUGCCUUUCUUCGCUGAACGAAAUUGCAACAAACAUGCAAAUAUAUAGUUUUAAUAAAGUCCUGGAGCAGCAGGACCGUUCGCUCCCUCUCUCCCUCUCUCUAUGUCGCACUGCAAGCAACUCUACAAAAAUACAAAAAAAAGGCAGAAAUAGUAAGGGUAUUUUUGGUAGUUUUGGUUUUAACACACUUUUCAGAUCGAUGAAAAAUGUUCAAAGCUCAAUGAGGCGUUUCGGCACAUCCAAAUGAUGUAACGAAAGACUUUUUUAGAGAAACACUAAUACUUAUAAGAAAUUGUAUAGAGAAUUAUCCUUAUUCUUUGCAUUGCAAACCUUUCCUCAAAGUCUGAGGAUCUUUUUCUAUGGUAACAGACAAGUAAAAACUUUCCACAAGGCAUUUGACAAGGUAAAAGUUGCCGUUGCUUUCGCAGGUUGUUUUUGUUACAGUUUUGUUGUUAAUUUGUUGACAGAUGUGCGGGGCAGGGAGAUGGCUGUGGAGCUGUGGACGGGGGCGUCUGGCUGGGACGGCACUGCUAUGACAUAAAGAACAUUGGGGCAGGGGAUAUGAAAAAUGUGAAUUUGAAAUUUAUGUUCCAACAAAACACUUUUACGUAAAUUCCGUGUUUUUGCUACUUUUUUAUUCACCGUAUCCCCCGUGUCGUCAAUGAGCCCAAUUUAUAUGCAAUUUGUUUGGCAAAAAGAUGGAUAGAGAGAUAACUGGAGAGGAGAUAAAGCAAGAGACAGGGUAAAAAAAACAUACCAUUCUGUUAAAAAAAUGGAUGUGAUAUCUGAUUUGUAUAUAUCAUUUAAUUUCCACUGCUUUCAGUACAAAAAAUAUUAAGAUAUGUAUAGAUAUGUAGAUACAUUCAUAUGUAUGUACAUAUGUUUUGACAUAUGACACUCACCAGGAAUUUCAUCGGUUGAUCUCUAAUUAUAAAAAAGUAAUUAUUACCAGUUGGAAAAGAUGCACCCGGUACUCAAAGAGUAAAUAGGGUAUAUUGUAUGAGUGGGGAAAACACGCACAAGGAAGCGUUUCCGACCCCACAAAGUUUAUAUAUUCUUGAUCAGAAUCAAUAGCCGAGUCGAUUUAGGCAUGUCUGUCUGUCAGUCCGUCUGUCUGUCCGUCCGUCUGUCCGUCCGUCUGUCUGUCCGUCAUUGUGAGCGCCUAGUACUCAGAGACCAUAAGAGAUGCUCACACUGUUACGAAAUCAAAAUUUCAAAAAUAUUCUUCGCCUCUUUCUGCCCACACAAAGGGCGAAAGUCUCCUCAAUUUUGAAAAUAAAAGAUAAGUACCUCCAUUCUGUAGGGAAAGACCAUAUCUAUCAGAUUACCGAAUUGGGAUCCGAUUGGAUCCUUAUUAUAGCCAGAAGGAAGAUGUGGUACUGAGUACCUGGUAUAAAAGUUGUGAAGUAUGAAGUCUGACAGGAAUUUUUCUUCUUUUUUUUACACAACUCAAGUAUCUUACAUAUGGUUGUAAU
rnacentral:lncRNA from 1 species